rnacentral:rRNA from 1 species
UACAGAGGGGGCAAGCGUUGUUCGGAAUUACUGGGCGUAAAGGGCGCGUAGGCGGCCUUCUAAGUCGAACGUGAAAUCCCCGGGCUCAACCCGGGAACUGCGUCCGAGACUGGAAGGCUCGAAUCCGGGAGAGGGAUGUGGAAUUCCAGGUGUAGCGGUGAAAUGCGUAGAUAUCUGGAGGAAUACCGGUGGCGAAGGCGGCAUCCUGGACCGACAUUGACGCUGAGGAGCGAAAGCUAGGGGAGCAAACGGGG